AGUAACUGCAGGUCACCACUCCAACCUUCACCACCUCCCUCGUACGGUGAUCGGGACAGUGGCUUCCGGGUCUAAUUGUAUAGGGGCUAUUUUUAGACCUUGGAAUUAAGGUGACGGGGUUGUUAUUGGCUGGUGCAUCGUCGGGUCGGCAAUGCAAAAGCUGAGGGGGGUAGAUUGUGGUGAAUACCAGUUCGCCGAUAAUUAAGCGGUACCUCAGUUGGUAUAAAAGCGGCAUUUCCAAGCAUAGAGGCACGUCAUUUGAUUGCGUCACGGCGUUGCUGCCGUUUCCGGGAUUCCACCGCUCUGAGUUGGAGGUAUGUGUGUUUGGCGUUUUCCCGAUGGCUGGCAGGUGUAUGGUGAAAUUACUAGGUUUUCUGUGCAGCUAGAGUUGGCCCGUGGGAGUUUAUAUGACCGCUAAAAAGAAGGUUGAUCUUCCUCGCGAUGUUAUUUUGACAACUGGAAAUAAAGCGACCAUAUAUGUGUGUUGGACAACAGACUGUAGGUGAUUUGCUUCUCCCCGGAUUCGUGAUCAGCAUAAGGGCGAUCUGGGUGCACGCUUAAUUAGUGAUAUCUGAAGCUGGAGUGGGGUGUAUCAGAGUGGCGGCUAUCUAGGGUGUGGAGGUGGUCUUUUGUCAAAAGUGUGGGGUGUAACUUAUGUUUGUAGUGUAAUUCCACUAGAGUGUCUUUUGAGAUUGAAAUCCACAAGGGAAGGCUGCUUUAAUUUGGGCUGUUGUGAUGCUCCAUGUGUGGCCGACCCACUUUCUGAGACACCCCAGUUCUAUGAUGUAACCUUUUGAGUUAACCCUUUUGAUUUAGUCCUGUUGUUUUAUCGCUUGUGGCUCUGGCCAUUUAUUCUGAACUACUUGUGUUCAUUUUGGUCAUUUUUACCUUUAUGAUAAUAAAGCUGUAUUCUUAUAUUGA